AAAUUGUUUUAAUAUAAUUAAAAUUGAAUUUUAAAUUUUAAUAAAAAUGUUAAAAUAAACAUAAAAGACGAGAAGACCCUAUAAAUCUUUAUUUUUAGAUUAGUUAUAUGUUUGUUUUAUAUUUUUUAUAUAAUUAUUUUAAAAAUUUUAUUGGGGUGAUAGUGAAAUUUAAUAAACUUUUAUAAAAGUUUUAUACUUAUAGGUAAAUAAUUGAA
rnacentral:rRNA from 1 species